GACGAACGCUGGCGGCGUGCUUAACACAUGCAAGUCGAACGGAAAGGCCCUGCUUGCAGGGUGCUCGAGUGGCGAACGGGUGAGUAACACGUGGGUGAUCUGCCCCUUACUUUGGGAUAAGCCUGGGAAACUGGGUCUAAUACUGGAUAGGACCAUGCUGUAGGUGGUGUGGUGGAAAGAUUAGUUUCGGUAAGGGAUGAGCUCGCGGCCUAUCAGCUUGUUGGUGGGGUAAUGGCCUACCAAGGCGUCGACGGGUAGCCGGCCAGAGAGGGUGGACGGCCACAUUGGGACUGAGAUACGGCCCAGAAUCCGACGGGAGGCAGCAGUGGGGAAUAUUGCACAAGGGGCGCAAGCCUGAUGCAGCGACGCCGCGUGGGGGAUGACGGCCUUCGGGUUGUAAACUCCUUUCAGCCAUGACGAAGCCCUUGUGGUGACGGUAGUGGUAGAAGAAGCACCGGCUAACUACGUG
rnacentral:rRNA from 1 species